rnacentral:lncRNA from 1 species
CGCGGAGGGGCUGCUGGGGCUUCCAGGAGGGCGCAUGUGCGGAUGACUGGCCGCAGGCGGCCGGGCGGGCUGUAACCCGCCGCUGAACUAGCGCUUCUGUGUCCAGAGGCUUCGGCCUGGCCGCCGUCGCCUGUAAGCUACGAGGAGGAGAUUUACGACUUGGCCGGGCGCAGCAAAGGCCAGACUCUGCGCGAACAGGCGCUGCGCACCAACCGGCAGGCACCUGGCGGGCACCAUCGCACGGUGGCGCAGAAGCCCCUCAAUGGCCAGCGCCAGCUGCAGCCGCGGCCGCGCAGUCGUCCCACCUGAGCUUGGGCGAAUGUGGAUUGGGAAAGUCGACAUUAAUCAACUCAUUAUUCCUCAUAGAUUUGUAUUCUCCAGAGUAUCCAGGUCCUUCUCACAGAAUUAAAAAGACUGUACAGCUGGCAGCCUGUUAUCGAUUACAUUGAUAGUAAAUUUGAGGACUACCUAAAUGCAGAAUCAUGCGUGAACAGACAUCAGAUGCCUGAUAACAGGGUGCAGUGUUGUUCAUACUUCAUUGCUCCUUCAGGACAUGGACUUAAACCAUUGGAUAUUGAGUUUAUGAAGCGUUUGCAUGAAAAAGUGAGUAUCACCCCACUUAUUGCCAAAGCAGACACACUCACACCAGAGGAAUGCCAACAGUUUAAAAAACAGUUGAAAAUGGUGAACAUUGUUAUUUUACAAUUCUAAGAAAUAUGUUGAUAAGGUAACUUUUCCGGUCACACACAACAGACUGAUUUUCCUGUGGAAGACCUCACAGGAGUUCUCUUGAACCAGGAGACUAUUUUGAGCUGAAAUACCUGGAGCCCUCUCAAGCUAUUUGGGCCUUUCAAUUUGAAACCCAGGUUUGGAUGAUUCUAAGCUCUAUGGCAGAGACUGUAAUCAUUUUCUCUUCACCCUCAGGUUGGGGACUCACCCUCAGGGUUGGGAGUGACUGCUGUCUCUCCAGCCCCCACCAAUUACACCAUGUUCUGGUUGUUAAAAUCCAGUGUAUGCAUGAAAUGUAAUAAAAGUAUCUUCGCAGCACUAAGUAGAGAGUUCCUUGUUGUGAGCAGACCAUUCCUCUUCCUCCUUGGAAAAAAUUAUCUAU